rnacentral:lncRNA from 10 species
CAGAGGAACUUAGUCAUUGACUGUGGUGGGGCUGCAGGACGAUAAGAAUUCGGAAGUGAAAGAACUCAGAAGGCAGUGCCAGCAGCUGGAGUCUGUUAAACGGAGCAGUCUGUGUCAAAAGAGCUUCUCUCCAGAGUAGAAAGAUUUAUUUUCUUUUUGAAUAUAUUUUCUACACCAUGGUUUCUCAACCAGAGGUGAUACAGCACUGUCUCCAAAUGUGGAGCUGUUGUGUAUUGUCACGGGGAGGAGAAAUGCUACUGGCAUUUAGUGGAUGAUGGUCAAGGACACUAAGCAACCUGCAAUGUGUGGAUCAAUCUUACACAACGAAGGACUGUUCCACCCCAAAUGCCAAUGGUACCCUGUUGAGAAAGGAUUCAAGAUGGAUUGGCAUCAAAGUUCACUUCUUUAACAAAAGUGCUUUAUGACCUUAAUAAAAUAUUAGAGAAUGGUAGGAUCCAUGGAAGCCCUUUACAAAAACUUGUGAUAGAAAGUUUUGAUGAUAAGCAGACUUUGCAACAACUGGAAUUGCAAAAUGACCCAAUUUUACAAAGCUUCCAGAAUGCAGUUAGUGAAACAAAGAUGAAGAUAUCAGUAUCCCAGAGAGUGAAGAACAGGAGC